rnacentral:rRNA from 1 species
CCUACGGGUGGCAGCAGUGAGGAAUAUUGGACAAUGGGCGCGAGCCUGAACCAGCCAAGCCGCGUGAGGGAUGAAGGUUCUAUGGAUCGUAAACCCCUUUUAUAAGGGAAUAAAGUGUGGGACGUGUCCGAUUUUGUAUGUACCUUAUGAAUAAGGAUCGGCUAACUCCGUGCCAGCAGCCGCGGUAAGACGGAGGCUCCGCGCGUUAUCCGGAUUUAAUGGGUUUAAAGGGUGCGUAGGCGGCCUUUUAAGUCCGCGGUGAAAGUCUGUGGCGCAACCAUAGAACUGCCGUUGAAACUGGGGGGCUUGAGUAUGUUUGAGGCAGGCGGAAUGCCUUGUGUAGCGGUGAAAUUCUUAGAUAUCACGCAGAACCCCGAUUGCGAAGGCAGCCUGCCAGGCCAUGACUGACGCUGAUGCACGAAAGCGUGGGGAUCACACAGGAUUAGCUACCCCUGUAGUC